AAAGAUAUCGACGCUGAUGGAAAGUUACAACUCUAAUUUACUUGCUUACGAACCAGUUCAAUUUUUUUCUUCUUUCUCUUUUUGUCUCUGUGUUUCUGUCUGUCUUUUUUUCUUUCUGUGUCUGUCUUUGUUUGUCUUAAUCGUGUUGUCAAAUUAUCGCAAAAAAUAGUUGGUCGGAGUUUCCAUAGAUUUCCUCGGUGGCAGGGUGCAAGAGAGAAGAGAGAGAGAGAGAGAGAGAAGAGCGUGCCGGCCGUUUUACGUUCGACUCGACGAUUUCGUUUUAAGCGACACGAUGAACGAGCAUUAACCGUGAAUUCUUUGACCUCGUGCUCCAAGGGAUGGCUCUUUAAACUUUAAAAGUCCUUCGAAUCGACGGGGUCUUUUAAAUUGUUUCGUGAGGGGGGCCUGGGGUACGGGGAGGGGGACCGCCGAUUGGGGUGAAGGGAAGGUUCUCUUGUCAGAGAAAUAAAAAAGAGAAAGAGAGAAAGAGAAAGAAAGAGAGAGAGAGAGAGAGAGAGAGAGAGAGAGAGAAAGAAAAGAAAAACUUACGACAGUUAACCGAAAGACGACACGCAGAGUCCGAGGGUCCUAUAAAAGUUUGGACCGAAAUGGAAGCUGCGAGAUAUACAUAUCUCGUGCGAUAUAUAUAUUUUAUGAAAAUAAAAUCGUAUUUGAGAGAAAAACAGACAAAAAAUAAUAUGUAUAAGAAUCGAUAAAUAAAAAAGGAGAGAAAAAAAAUCAAAAGUAAAAGAUCGAUGAAUAUUAACGACGAAUUCGUCUCAUGUAGAAUAAAUGUACGACAUGGAUCGUUGAAUCACCUUACAUACAAUACAUAUAUAGGGUUACGUGCGACAAGUCGAUAUCUAUAUGUCCGAUAAGGGAACAAGCUUACGACAAUGGAGUCACAUACUGCGAAAUACGAUAAUUGUCGCAAAAUCUUACGAAUAAAAAUAAUAAAAGGAAAAAACAGAAGAUGAAGAGGAAGAAGAAGACGAAGAAGUAGAAACAAGUUAGGGAUUGGAUUUUCUUGGUUUUUUGCGUUUGGUGAUGUGCUAGCACGUAGUGUACACGAUGCGGUCACGUUCGUACACGUAUGUACUACUUCCUGCGCGAUUCACGACGCUUCUUACUCGGAAUUCAAAUGUACAAGUAUGUAUCUCGUCCCGUCGUUUACAAUCCUUGGGUAUCGUCUCGUCUCGUCUCGUCUCGUCUCGUUUCCUCUUUGAUAAAGGAUUUUUUGGAUUUGACUAAACUAGUAGAAAAAAAGAAGAAGAAAAAGAAAAAAAAAGUAACGACGAGCACGAGUCUUCGACAUAAGAAUUUUUUGAAAUACUAAACUCUUACCGCAGGUCGAUUUUAUAUGAAAAAAAGAAGAAAAAGAAAAAGAAAAUAAUACACAAUGCGUUUCAUUAUCGCGAUAACUGUACUCGUAAUUAAUUAAAAAUAUUAAACGUUCAAGAAAAUUUUAUAUAAAUUCAAUUCCAAAUGAGAUUGUAUAUCUAUGUAAAUUUAUAAUCUAUAUAAUAAUCUACAUAAUUAUCAUCUAUUUAUAUAAUUGUAUAUAUAUAUAUAUAUGUGUGUAUGUAUGUAUGUAUGUAUGUAUAUAUAAUAUUGAGCAAACGCUAUAAAAUAAACAAUACUAUAAUAAUGAUUUAUACAAAAUUAAAUACAUAAUUACAUAAGCUGCAUAUAAUUAUAUAUAUAUAGGUGUGUAAACACGAGUACAUUGUUGAUCGGUCAGUAAUGUGUUAAGCGAAGAAACGCUAAUCAUACAUACAUACAUACAUAUGUGGUUAUCGAAACUAUCGCUCGACAAUCUCGACAAAGAGACGGAAGAAUGUACGAUUCGCAGUUUUCUCUCACACUAGGACGUAGAACCCUUCCUUUUCUAUUUUUCUUUCUCCUUUUUUCUUUUUUUUCUAUUUCCUUUUUUCCUAUUUCUUCCUCGUUUCCACAGCUUCCGCGAGUCGGUCGAUCGAAAUCCCGUCGGCAAUUACAGAAAAUUCCAAGGCUUUCUAGCGAAGUAUAGAAACAAUCAUCGAACGAUCUUUCUUUCUUUAAAGAGAGAGAAAGAUAAGGAGAGAGAGAGAGAGAGAGAGAGAGAGAGAGAGAGAGAGAGAAGGGAAUAAGGAAGAAGAAGAAGAAGAAGGAAGAGGAGGAGAGAAUCACUUUGCAGCUAACGUAAUUGAUAAUCGAAUAUCGUUGGUUUUAUCGCAUUUGAUAACGGUACACUCGUGUAAACUAUCGAUUACGUUAUCUAAGAAUGGUGGCUUGCAGGAGUAACGACAAGGCUCUAAUUAUACUCUCGCUCCUACGUUUACACGACGAAGAAACGUUUUUCCAGUUUGCGGAUUAGGUAUCUCUUAGCGAGACACUUUGCCGUGGGAAUAUUUUAUCGGCUUAUCCGAGACGAUAACGCGCAUUACGUCCUGCUAAGUGCGGAAAAGAGAAAAGGAAAAGUCAAGAGAAAGUAAGAGAGAAAAAGAGAGAGAGAAAGAGAGAGAGAGAGAGAGAGAGAGAGAGAGAGAGAGAG